rnacentral:rRNA from 1 species
AGUGAACGCUGGCGGUAGGCCUAACACAUGCAAGUCGAACGGCAGCACAGUAAGAGCUUGCUCUUACGGGUGGCGAGUGGCGGACGGGUGAGGAAUACAUCGGAAUCUACUUUUUCGUGGGGGAUAACGUAGGGAAACUUACGCUACUACCGCAUACGACCUACGGGUGAAAUCAGAGGAUCUUCGGACCUUGCGCGAUUCAAUGAGCCGAUGUCGGAUUAGCUAGUUGGCGGGGUAAAGGCCCACCAAGGCGACGAUCCGUAGCUGGCCUGAGAGGAUGAUCGGCCACACUGGAACUGAGACACGGUCCAGACUCCUACGGGAGGCAGCAGUGGGGAAUAUUGGACAAUGGGCGCAAGCCUGAUCCAGCCAUACCGCGUGGGUGAAGAAGGUCUUCGGGUUGUAAAGCUCUUUUGUUGGGAAAGAAAAGCAGCAGGUUAAUACCUGGCUGUUCUGACGGUACCCAAAGAAAAAGCAACGGCUAACUUCGUG